GACGAACGCUGGCGGCGUGCUUAACACAUGCAAGUCGAACGGAAAGGCCCUGCUUUUGUGGGGUGCUCGAGUGGCGAACGGGUGAGUAACACGUGAGUAACCUGCCCUUGACUUUGGGAUAACUUCAGGAAACUGGGGCUAAUACCGGAUAGGAGCUCCUGCUGCAUGGUGGGGGUUGGAAAGUUUCGGCGGUUGGGGAUGGACUCGCGGCUUAUCAGCUUGUUGGUGGGGUAGUGGCUUACCAAGGCUUUGACGGGUAGCCGGCCUGAGAGGGUGACCGGCCACAUUGGGACUGAGAUGCGGCCCAGACUCCUACGGGAGGCAGCAGUGGGGAAUAGUGCACAAUGGGCGGAAGCCUGAUGCAGCAACGCCGCGUGCGGGAUGACGGCCUUCGGGUUGUAACCCGCUUUCGCCUGUGACGAAGCGUGAGUGACGGUAAUGGGUAAAGAAGCACCGGCUAACUACGUG
rnacentral:rRNA from 1 species